AGAAAUAGAACGAGUUGGGACCAGUUCAAUAAAGUUUCCUUGCAACAUAUUGCGAACCAAUUUCAGCUCAAUUCCAGUUCUUCGAACCCGUUCCAACUAAAUUGAACUUUUUAUUUUUCAUCUUUGCAUUUAGUUGCAUUUUAAUACUUGUAUUUAAGCAUCUGAGUUUAAUAAAUGAGUUGCUGAUCAUUAAUUCAACUCAUCCUAGUUUAAUUAAUUGAGUUUUUUAUGAACUUGAUUUAAUAGUUGAUU
rnacentral:lncRNA from 1 species